rnacentral:lncRNA from 1 species
UUCCUGUUGUGGUGGAAUAAUGACACGAAGAAAGGAGCCAGGCUGAACACUGUGAAGAAAAGUUAAAGUGCCUGCAUUUCAAGCGCUUUGAAUUUCAGAAUGAAUGCAUUAAGAAUUUCUCCAAGAAUGAACUGCACCAAAACCUGGACCAAAAUCUGCAGAGCACUGAGCCCUCUCCUCACCUUUUCACGUGGCUCAGCAUUCAGCAUCUCAGGUCUUUUCUUAUAGCAUUGAUGGACGGUCAGAGAGACAAAGCUCCCCAUGAAGACAUCUCUGCUAAGCUUUCCAGGCAGGCAGCAGAGACUAUAGAAAGGAUGUGGCUACAAGGUAAAAAAGUGAAGAGGCUUUAA